CAGUGGGGAAUAUUGCACAAUGGGCGCAAGCCUGAUGCAGCCAUGCCGCGUGUAUGAAGAAGGCCUUCGGGUUGUAAAGUACUUUCAGCGGGGAGGAAGGUGUUGUGGUUAAUAACCGCAGCAAUUGACGUUACCCGCAGAAGAAGCACCGGCUAACUCCGUGCCAGCAGCCGCGGUAAUACGGAGGGUGCAAGCGUUAAUCGGAAUUACUGGGCGUAAAGCGCACGCAGGCGGUCUGUCAAGUCGGAUGUGAAAUCCCCGGGCUCAACCUGGGAACUGCAUUCGAAACUGGCAGGCUUGAGUCUUGUAGAGGGGGGUAGAAUUCCAGGUGUAGCGGUGAAAUGCGUAGAGAUCUGGAGGAAUACCGGUGGCGAAGGCGGCCCCCUGGACAAAGACUGACGCUCAGGUGCGAAAGCGUGGGGAGCAAACAGGAUUAGAUACCCUG
rnacentral:rRNA from 2 species